AGUGAACGCUGGCGGUAGGCCUAACACAUGCAAGUCGAACGGCAGCACAGUAAGAGCUUGCUCUUACGGGUGGCGAGUGGCGUACGGGUGAGGAAUACAUCGGAAUCUACUUUUUCGUGGGGGAUAACGUAGGGAAACUUACGCUAAUACCGCAUACGACCUACGGGUGAAAGCAGUGGAUCUUCGGACCUUGCGCGAUUGAAUGAGCCGCUGUCGGAUUAGCUAGUUGGCGGGGUAAAGGCCCACCAAGGCGACGAUCCGUAGCUGGUCUGAGAGGAUGAUCAGCCACACUGGAAGUGGGACACGGUCCAGACUCCUACGGGAGGCAGCAGUGGGGAAUAUUGGACAAUGGGCGCAAGCCUGAUCCAGCCAUACCGCGUGGGUGAAGAAGGCCUUCGGGUUGUAAAGCCCUUUUGUUGGGAAAGAAAAGCAGCAGGUUAAUACCCCGCUGUUCUGACGGUACCCAAAGAAUAAGCACCGGCUAACUUCGUG
rnacentral:rRNA from 1 species